AGUGAACGCUGGCGGUAGGCCUAACACAUGCAAGUCGAACGGCAGCACAGGAGAGCUUGCUCUCUGGGUGGCGAGUGGCGGACGGGUGAGGAAUACAUCGGAAUCUACCUUUUCGUGGGGGAUAACGUAGGGAAACUUACGCUAAUACCGCAUACGACCUACGGGUGAAAGUGGGGGACCGCAAGGCCUCACGCGAUUAGAUGAGCCGAUGUCCGAUUAGCUAGUUGGCGGGGUAAUGGCCCACCAAGGCGACGAUCGGUAGCUGGUCUGAGAGGAUGAUCAGCCACACUGGAACUGAGACACGGUCCAGACUCCUACGGGAGGCAGCAGUGGGGAAUAUUGGACAAUGGGCGCAAGCCUGAUCCAGCCAUACCGCGUGGGUGAAGAAGGCCUUCGGGUUGUAAAGCCCUUUUGUUGGGAAAGAAAUCCUGUCGAUUAAUACUCGGUGGGGAUGACGGUACCCAAAGAAUAAGCACCGGCUAACUUCGUGCCAGCAGCCGCCGUAA
rnacentral:rRNA from 1 species